UUGACCCCCUUCUUCAAAUUAGAUAUUUCGGAUGCGAGAUGAACUCCUAGCACCAGAUCGUAUGCGAGGAAUUCAAGAGGAAUUGGCGGCAUUCUUUCUUGACCACGUGAUCGCUAAAGACGGAGAAUACUAUGUGGACCCUGCAAGGUUCAAUUUUAAUUAGGAGAUUAUAUUGUAAAAUAUACUUAUAUUGUAUAUAUGUAGCCAGUAGCGUCGGAUAGAUAUACGAGAACUUGUUGUUCGA
rnacentral:lncRNA from 1 species